rnacentral:rRNA from 1 species
UACAGAGACUGCAAGCGUUAUUCGGAUUCACUGGGCGUAAAGGGUGCGCAGGCGGCCAAGUGUGUGAGGCGUGAAAGCCCAGGGCUUAACCCUGGAAUUGCACCUCAAACUACAUGGCUAGAGCAUUGGAGAGGGAAGCGGAAUUCACGGUGUAGCAGUGAAAUGCGUAGAUAUCGUGAGGAACACCAGAGGCGAAGGCGGCUUUCUGGACAAUUGCUGACGCUCAGGCACGAAAGCGUGGGGAGCAAAAGGG